rnacentral:rRNA from 1 species
GACGAACGCUGGCGGCGUGCCUAAUACAUGCAAGUCGAACGCAGUGGGGACGGGUGAGUAGCACGUGGGUAACCUCCCAUCAGAGGGGAUAACACUUGGCAACAGGUGCUAAACCGAUACUGGUUGAUGGACCCGCGGUGCAUUAGCUAGUUGGUGGGGUAACGGCUCACCAAGGCCACGAUGCAUAGCCGACCUGAGAGGGUGACCGGCCACACUGGAACUGAGACACGGCCCAGACUCCUACGGGAGGCAGCAGUAGGGAAUCUUCGGCAAUGGACGAAAGUCUGACCGAGCCACGCCGCGUGAGUGAAGAAGGUUUUCGGAUCGUAAAACUCUGUUGUUAGAGAAGCGGUAUCUAACCAGAAAGCCACGGCUAACUCCGUGCCAGCAGCCGCGGUAAUUC